rfam:Gossypium hirsutum cultivar TM-1 chromosome 22, whole genome shotgun sequence
UAUUAAAAUUUUUAUCUUUUUUUAUUAUUAAAAACUAGAGUAGUUGAUGGAACAAUUAGAUAAUUGCACAUGAGCUGCCAUGUUUACCUUAUGUUGCCGUAUAAAGAUCAGUUUUUAACAGCAAAAACAGAUAGAAUUUUAAUA